AGUAAACAUAAAGCUGAACUCAAAAUGAAGACUCUUCUCAUCUUCACACUGCAUCUGAUCUCAGAUACAGGAGAGUCCAAGGAUGUGGAGUCUAUAUCAGUGACUGCAUGUGGAGGAGGAAGAGUCACCAUCAAGUGCAAAUAUGAGGAUGAAUACAAAACCAAACUGAAAUCUUUCUAGAGCUGAGUGUAAAUGACACUGGAACAUACCAGUGUGCUGUUAAUGUAUCUGAUCAACUG
ensembl:lncRNA